rnacentral:rRNA from 1 species
AACCGAGAUUCCCCCAGUAGCGGCGAGCGAACGGGGAGGAGCCCAGAACCAUCAUCAGCUUGUGCAUCAGUGGAAGCGUCUGGAAAGUCGCAGGGUACAGGGUGAUACUCCCGUACACAAAGGUGCAUGAGUUGUGAGUUCGAUGAGUAAGGCGGGACACGUGGUAUCCUGUCUGAAUAUGGGGGGACCAUCCUCCAAGGCUAAAUACUCCUGACUGACCGAUAGUGAACCAGUACCGUGAGGGAAAGGCGAAAAGA